rnacentral:rRNA from 1 species
CCUGGCUCAGGACGAACGCUGGCGGCGUGCCUAAUACAUGCAAGUCGAGCGAAUCAAUAGGAGCUUGCUCCUGUUGGUUAGCGGCGGACGGGUGAGUAACACGUGGGCAACCUGCCUGUAAGACUGGGAUAACUUCGGGAAACCGGAGCUAAUACCGGAUAAUCCUUUCCCUCACAUGAGGAAAAGCUGAAAGUCGGUUUCGGCUGACACUUACAGAUGGGCCCGCGGCGCAUUAGCUAGUUGGUGAGGUAACGGCUCACCAAGGCGACGAUGCGUAGCCGACCUGAGAGGGUGAUCGGCCACACUGGGACUGAGACACGGCCCAGACUCCUACGGGAGGCAGCAGUAGGGAAUCUUCCGCAAUGGACGAAAGUCUGACGGAGCAACGCCGCGUGAGCGAUGAAGGCCUUCGGGUCGUAAAGCUCUGUUGUUAGGGAAGAACAAGUGCCGGAGUAACUGCCGGUACCUUGACGGUACCUAACCAGAAAGCCACGGCUAACUACGUGCCAGCAGCCGCGGUAAUACGUAGGUGGCAAGCGUUGUCCGGAAUUAUUGGGCGUAAAGCGCGCGCAGGCGGUCCUUUAAGUCUGAUGUGAAAGCCCACGGCUCAACCGUGGAGGGUCAUUGGAAAACUGGGGGGACUUGAGUGCAGAAGAGGAAAGCGGGAAUUUCCACGUGUAGCGGGUGAAAUGCGUAGAGAUGUGGAGGGAACACCAGUUGGCGAAAGGCGGCUUUCUGGGUCUGUAACUGACGCUGAGGCGCGAAAGCGUGGGGAGCAAAACAAGGAUUAGAUACCCCUG